UACAGAGGGGGCAAGCGUUGUCCGGAAUCAUUGGGCGUAAAGCGCGUGUAGGCGGCUCGAUACGUCUGCUGUGAAAGUCCAGGGCUCAACCCUGGAAUGCCGGUGGAAACUGUCGAGCUAGAGUCCGGAAGAGGCGAGUGGAAUUCCUGGUGUAGCGGUGAAAUGCGCAGAUAUCAGGAGGAACACCAAUGGCGAAGGCAGUUCGCUGGGACGGUACUGACGCUGAGACGCGAAAGCGUGGGGAGCAAACAGG
rnacentral:rRNA from 1 species